rnacentral:miRNA from 12 species
AAUUACACUUGUUACGACCGGA